AAUGAACGUUGGCGGCGUGGAUUAGGCAUGCAAGUCGUACGGACCGUGGUAGCAAUAUUACGGUUAGUGGCGCAAGGGAGAGUAAUACGUAGGUAUUUACCCUGGGGUCUGGGAUAGCGGCGGGAAACUGCCGGUAAUACCAGAUGAUAUAUCCGGAUCAAAGGUGUGAUUCCGCCCUAGGAGAAGCCUGCGGUCUAUCAGCUAGUUGGUAGGGUAACGGCCUACCAAGGCAAAGACGGAUAUGGGGCGUGAGGGCGUGCCCCCACUCACUGGGACUGAGACACUGCCCAGACACCUACGGGUGGCUGCAGUCGAGAAUCUUCGGCAAUGGGCGCAAGCCUGACCGAGCGACGCCGCGUGCGGGAUGAAGGCCUUCGGGUUGUAAACCGCUGUCGAAGGGGAGGAAAUUGUAGUGGGUUCACCCAUUAUAUUGACCGAUCCUUGGAGGAAGGGCCGGCUAAUCUCGUGCCAGCCGCCGCCGUAA
rnacentral:rRNA from 1 species